UACGUAGGGUGCAAGCGUUGUCCGGAAUUAUUGGGCGUAAAGAGCUCGUAGGCGGUCUGUCGCGUCUGCUGUGAAAACUCGGGGCUUAACCCCGGGCCUGCGGUGGGUACGGGCAGACUAGAGUGAUGUAGGGGAGACUGGAAUUCCUGGUGUAGCGGUGAAAUGCGCAGAUAUCAGGAGGAACACCGGUGGCGAAGGCGGGUCUCUGGGCCGUAACUGACGCUGAGGAGCGAAAGCGUGGGGAGCGAACAGG
rnacentral:rRNA from 1 species